UUCAUUAUUCUUGUUCAAAAAUAUUAAAGUAUUAAACUUUUUUUUAUAUAUAUAAUACAUUAUUUAAAAUAAAGCUCUUUAUUCUUAUACUGUUGAAAGGUUUGGGUAAGGAGAUCCCUUUUACUUUUAAAGUUCAAUGCUAAAAAGUAAAGUUCUGUGAUUCAUUAGCUCUAUGGCAUUUCAUAUCAUAGAUGAAUAAAAUGGAGGCUUAAUUCAAUUCACUUGUAUAAUAGUUGGCCUGUGUGAUAAUCUGAUGUUGGUCAUUGAUCCAGAUGGAACCUUUGGGGUUUAUAUAGUUCAGCCUUAUGCCAGUUUAGAGGUGGCACUCCUGACAGAUUAUCAUCUAGCUUCUGCCUUGUCACUUACAGAAGAUAUAAGAAAUUCAUUAGGUAACCAAGGCAGCCCAAGUGUACAUUUUUAUAGUUUAAAUGAAAGAGAAAAUGAUAUCUUACCUGAACUAAACUCUGUCUUGUCUUUUACCCACUAGUCCCUAGUUCUUUCCCUUUGUAUUGAAUGGAAUAAAUAAAAAUCUUUUCUGCUUGAUAGUCCUUUCAAUUACUAUUUUUUUAAGGCUAGUUGUUUGUGUGUGUCUGUCCAUGUAACUGAUCUGUUUGUAUGACUGAAAAACGAGAGGACAAACUGGGAAAAUAUUGCUAAAAUUAGCAAACUGUAUAGGUAAAAAAUCAUGAACUGUUGUUAAGUCAUAAUGGCUGGAACACUAGUGUGGAUAAAACUAAGUCCACAGAUCUAUCUCACUGUAUUACUACUCUGAUAUCCAGCUAAGGAGUGUACAUACCAUUAGGAAAAUAGGAAACUCUGCUAACAGUCUUGCAGAUGGCGAAUAUCUAAGUUCAUAUUUAAAAUUUCACUGUGUAUCUUAGGCUUUACAUUAAAAUCACUAAAGGCAUAAAAAUUUCAUAAGCUGUAAUUUUAGAUUGUUUCAUGUGUCACUAAAUGGUAUAAUUACUGAAAAUAAAAGUUAUAAGAAAUAGUUAUGUAAUUCUUAAACAUUAUCAUGUUUUACAGGAUGUAACUAAACAUAUUUUCCUUAUACUUGUUUUUCAAAAGUCUACUGGAUUCUGUGGGACUAUCAAGUAAUUCUGUCAUGAGUUAAUUUUGAUAUUUCAGUUUCAAUUGAUUUCUCUGAAUUAUUUUUAUGCUUAAUGGCAAUAGAGGUAGCGGAGCAUGAAGAUGUUCUGAUUGUUAAGUGCCAGUCUAGAUUGCCUGAGAGUGUUACAAGUUCCUUAAAAAGAAAAUAUCUUUCCUUUCUUAUCUUGUACAAAUUUAGUCAUAUUGCUGGUACCUAGUAAAUGUUUACUCAUUUAACUAAGCUUCAUUUCUAUAUUGGAAAUUUUUUUUAAAUUGAUGAGUUUCUCUUAAGUACAGUGAAUUUUAAUGAUUCAGUAAACAUCUUUGAUGAACUUCUAAAAAGUACAAAUGUUCAAGAGGAUAUAGAUGAAUAGUCAUAUGAGGAACAGAAAUAUUCUUGUUGAAAGUUUAACUGCAUCAGAACUAGAGUCACUGUUUUGAGGUGCUAAAACAUUCUUAAAACCAGUUAAAAUAUUUGUAAGUAUUGUUUAAAUUGCAUGUUUCCAUUUUUUGUAACUACUUUGUUUUUCAGGUAUAUUCAGCAGAAUCACUCAAAUCUUUCCAGGUUUUCAAAUUGGGAAUUGCUUUCCACAUUAAAAAACAAAAUAAAAAUUUAUAGUUAAGAUCAGGGAUCCCUGUGGUUUUGUGAAGAGGGUCUUUUCAUUGCCCUGUAAUGUUGAGCUUAUCCUAGAUGGGGGCUGCUCUGUGUAUGCAUGUAUAUGGAUACAGAUGUUGAUGUCCCGGGGAAGGUUACUAACAGUUGAACUGUAGAACUGUAACUGGGUCGGGAGCGCCUGCUGGCUAUAUUUCCUUCCCAGUUGGGAAUUUCAAGAAACUGAGGCGAGACGUUAAUGGCACAGAGAGGGAUGUGGCUGCUGCAGCUGGCUUGGAGACCUGUCAGGUAAGGCUUAAAUAGCUCCCAGUAGAUAUUGUUCUACUGGUGGGGGAAUUCCUGGUUAAUGUAUUCUGUUAGGUUUGAGAGUUCCUGACGCGGACUUCCUGUUUAAAUCCCAUGUAUUGGCUAACUUGUCCCUUAAUUAAGGGGUAGAGUUAUGGGAGUGAGUAGGGCUCUCUUCUGAUCUAGGUUCAGUGAUCUGUACCUACAGCAGUGUCUCUUGCUGCUCUUGAACCACUUUCAUUGGACUCCAUUGCCUUUAGAAUAUGGUACCAGUUUUUCUACUAAAGUAGCUGUGACAUUUGGGACACCCUUUGAUCCCCAUGUUUUAGCAUAUUUAUUUAAUAUAAUAUGCAAUGAUUUUGAAAGUCUUUCUAAUCUAAAAUUCUGUAGUUUUGUGACACAUUGUUCUGUAGGAGAUAGGUACACUAAAAGGAAACAGAAAUGAAGACAGUGAUGAGAGGUAGCAAAAAGGAGAGAAGAGUUUGAUUUUUGUACUAGACUUUAAAAGCACUUUCAAAGGUAUAUGGACUGUGUAACUAGGAAAUCCCACCAAGGCUGCCUUUGUAUCAUAGGUGGAGAUGAGGGGAGUUUUGUUUCCAUAGUAUAAGAUUAGAGUCUGGGGUAACUCAGAGUGUUGAAGUCGUUUUGGAUGAACUGAGAGGCAGAGAAGACAUUCCUGAUUUUUAGCUGGGUGUGGAGAGUUAGAAAUCUUUUUCUUUUAAUCAAAUAGGUUGACGACUCCAGGGAUUUUUUUUUUUUUUUUUUUUUAACUGUUUGGCUCAGUGGUGCCUGGUACAUUGUAGCUACGCAGUGGAAAGAGAGUGUGUGUGUGAAUAAAAGUACUGUGCUGCAUGUAACAUGUCUAAUUAGGAGGGGUCCUCUAAUUCUGUAGGGUUAAAUUCAGUGGUGGCAGCCUCUUCUGUUUCUUGAAUUUUUUUUUGAUUGUUCUCAACUUGACUAGUCAUAUUCAUAUAUCAAAGUAAUUUUUUUUUUUUUACUCUUUUUGCCCUUCAGAUGUACAGUUACCCUGAGUAGGGAAUGUGGGACUGUCUUGGUAAAAGAGGAAUUAAGAGAUGUAUCCCUUUUAAAACCCCAGUGCACACAGACAUGUAAAACCUCCCAUGAAUAUUCAGAUGUGGACUGCAUGUUUAUAUGGUGAUAAUAUUUAGUUCUGGGAUUUUUUUAGUUAUGAAUCUCUUACGUACUGAUAUGUCUGAAGGGAGAUGUUUUCUUUUGAUUUCAUAAACAUCUUCCCAUAUUUUAGAUGUGGUUAUCCAGAUUUUAGAUUGAUAUUCCUUAUAAAUUUUAACUAGUAACUAAAAGUUCCUUUGGGGGGGGCUUUGUACCUUUUAGAAAACAGUAAGAUCAAUAAGAUAUUAAUGUUAAUUGUAGUCAUCAGACUGCUGUUAAGCCAUAAUUUCUGCAGACCGUAAUCUUAUUGCCUACUCUUUGUGAUGUUGAAACAGAUUCAAAAUGUAAGGGCUUCACAGGACAGAAAUUUAUUUCUUGCUCUGUAACAGUUAAAUAGAUGUUCAGUUGUCUGGGAUGCAGUCCUCCACAUAGUCAUAGGGAUGCAGGUAAAGUGGCUUCUAGGUAUCUCCCUAGUCACCUGGAAGGGGGAAAGCAUGGAAGAACAUGAAUGGGAAGUUGUUAUGGACAAGUCUGGAAAUUGGAAGCUCCUCCAGUGAUGACGGUCUACCAAAACCUGAACUUCCAUUUUUUAAAGGAGCUUAGCUGCAGUAAUUGAUUUAUCCGUCAUCAUAAGAAAUGAAGCUUUCCAGCAUACCUGACAUUUUCGGAUAUCAGAAACUUUAUGGCUCUGUCAAAACUUGACAUUUUCAGCAAUUUCUCAAAACAAAAAUUUCCAAAAUUUGCAGUACUCUGUUGCUUCAAACAAAAUAUAACUUUAUUUUUAA